rfam:Aerococcus urinae ACS-120-V-Col10a, complete genome.
UACGGUGACGAUGGCAAGAAGGACCCACCUGUAUCCAUCCCGAACACAGCAGUUAAGCUUCUUAGCGCCGAAUGUAGUUGGGGGUCGCCCCCUGUGAGACUAGGACGUUGCCGUGC